rnacentral:tRNA from 1 species
UGGGAUAUGUAGCUCAGUGGUAGAGUGCUCACUUAGGAUGCUUGUGGUCCUGGGUUCAAUCCCAAUACCACAA